rnacentral:lncRNA from 1 species
UCAAGGCUGGGGAAGAAGACGCCAACUGCUGAAACAACUGUCAACAUAAAAGGACGUUUGAACAGACUGUAUCCAGAGUGAAUACAGAGAAACACGACUCUCCCUUGAAUGUUCUGCUCACUCAGAGGAGUUCACCUGAACACCUUAAUAUUCUGAAGAGUCAUGAGAAAGAUACCAUCUUUUUCCUGCAGAGCUGUGAAAAAGUGUUGACGUGUGUGAYGUACUGCGAGGAGCUCAGCUGA